AGUAACCUGCCUUGGAGUGGGGAAUAACAGCUGGAAACAGCUGCUAAUACCGCAUAAUGCAGUUGGGUCGCAUGGCUCUGACUGCCAAAGAUUUAUCGCUCUGAGAUGGACUCGCGUCUGAUUAGCUAGUUGGCGGGGUAACGGCCCACCAAGGCGACGAUCAGUAGCCGGACUGAGAGGUUGGCCGGCCACAUUGGGACUGAGACACGGCCCAGACUCCUACGGGAGGCAGCAG
rnacentral:rRNA from 1 species